rnacentral:rRNA from 1 species
CACGUAGGGGCCAAGCGUUGUCCGGAUUUAUUGGGCGGUAAAGAGCUCGUAGGCGGCUCGGUAAGUCGGGUGUGAAACCGUCCAGGCUCAACCUGGAGACGCCACCUGAUACUGCUGUGGCUAGAGUCCGGUAGGGGAGCGUGGAAUUCCUGGUGUAGCGGUGAAAUGCGCCAGAUAUCAGGAGGAACACCAGCGGCGAAGGCGGCGCUCUGGGCCGGAACUGACGCUGAGGAGCGAAAGCGUGGGUAGCAAACAGG